rnacentral:rRNA from 1 species
AAAACAUAGCCUAUAGUUUUUAUUAUAGGUAUAAUCUGCCCGAUGAUUUUUAUUCAAUGGCCGCAGUACCCUGACUGUGCUAAGGUAGCAAAAUAAUUUGACUUUUAAUUGGGGCCCGGUAUAAAAGAAUUACUGCUUAAGAUUUGUCUCUAUAGUACCUCUUAAAAUUUUCUGAUUUGGUGAAAAUUCCAAAAAACUAAAUAUUAGACGAGAAGACCCUAAGAAUUUUUCAAAAUAUUGAAUUAAAUAUUUAAUUUUUUUUUGUUGGGGCGACAAUAUAAACAAGAGUAUAACUUAUAUGUUAUUUACAAGACUUAGUAUUAAGGGGGUAUAUAAUUACCUUAGGGAUAACAGCUUAAUAUUUUUUUGCUUGAGACCUCGAUGUUGGACUAGGGACUAGUAUAUUUAAAAAACAUAUUAGAAUCUUCUGUUCGAAGAACUAACACCUACGUGAUCU